UGUCCACUCAGGGUUAAAUGGAUUAAGGG
rnacentral:piRNA from 1 species